rnacentral:misc_RNA from 1 species
GUAUAUAUUUGCGCAAUUAUACGCUAUAAUAUUAUCCAUUCUAUAAACUUUAUAUGAAGGUGUAUAAAAAUUCAUAACUAGGGCUUUCCAACAUUGUUUCCAACAUUGUAAUCAUCCCAAGCUACACAUAGUGCACAGGUGUGAAAGGUGGAUAUGUGAUCAAGGUGUGCACAUGCCCCAAGAGGCCAGCUACAACCCUUCUCAACACUCAUUUCAUUAAUGAUCCUUCCGCAGGUUCACCUACGGAAA